AUUGAACGCUGGCGGCAGGCCUAACACAUGCAAGUCGAACGGUAGCACAGGAGAGCUUGCUCUCUGGGUGACGAGUGGCGGACGGGUGAGUAAUGCAUGGGGAGCUGCCCAAUCGAGGGGGAUACCAGCUGGAAACGGCUGCUAAUACCGCAUACGCCCUGAGGGGGAAAGGUGGGGGACCUUCGGGCCUACCGCGAUUGGAUGCACCCAUGUGGGAUUAGCUAGUUGGUGGGGUAAAGGCCUACCAAGGCGACGAUCUGUAGCGGGUCUGAGAGGAUGAUCCGCCACACUGGGACUGAGACACGGCCCAGACUCCUACGGGAGGCAGCAGUGGGGAAUUUUGGACAAUGGGGGAAACCCUGAUCCAGCCAUGCCGCGUGAGUGAAGAAGGCC
rnacentral:rRNA from 1 species